rnacentral:lncRNA from 1 species
UCGCCGGCACAGGAACCCCUACAGGCUCCAGAGGCCCUGAGCGCGCCCCCUACGAGGCUUGUUCUCUGGCGUCUCUGAUUGGCCAGCUCCCUUCGCGCAGACUAGCGUCCUUUCGGCUGCUGGGUAGCUCCUCUUCCCUCGCUGGGCGAGGCUCUAAAGCCCAUGUGCAGCACAUUGAGGAUCUUCCGAUCGGUCUUCGCUGAUGCUUUUCUCGUUUCCCUCUAAGGGCGAGAUCACUGGGAAAGGAGCUGAUGCUGGUGGAAUCUUCAGGUGAUGAAGAUGGAGACUCCAGGUCUGAGUCGGCUGGAAAUAAAAAGAGACUCCCUGCAUUAGAGACCAUCCACAGGGCAUCCUUGGAAGCUGUGACCUGAAGGUGGACAAGCCACAGGAUGGAAGGAGCUGCAUCUCUAAGUCACCAGUGAAGAACAGUCACCCUCAAUGGGUUUGGAGAGAAGUCUUCUCUGAUAUCCACUUUUAAGUCCCGAUUAUAAUCCACUCGUUUCAUUCUCGCAGCACUCAGUGUGGUUUAGGGGAAAUUCUAGAUUCUCAUAUCUUGGUCAUGGAUGAUAAGGAAAGGGCCUUUCCAUAUAUGUGAGGCAAAGCAGAGCAGGGUGAGGGGGUAAGGCUCCUCAGGGUAAGGAAGGCCCUGCAGAAGAAUGGAGUGGUGUUGCGGAGGCAGGUAGCCGAGGGAGGGGAGCAGUGCCAUCAGGAUGGGUCCUCAGGGUCUGUCAGCAUCCACCAGAAUCUGGCAGAGCUAUUUAGAGAAACUGAUAGAAAGCUGUACCUACUGCAGUCACAAAGGAUCAGGCUCAGAAUCACGGAUAAACUGAGGAUUAAUGUCUCCAUUUAUUGAUAAGGAAAUUAAGUUUUAUGGAGAUUAGAAUGUUUGUACGUAAUACAGUGCUUAGUUCAUAGUAGAUGCACAAUAAAUAUUUGUUGAAUGAAGGGCCUAAGACUUUUAAUGCUUAUGCCUUCUAUAAGGGAUUGAGAAUUUACCCAUUCCGUGGUAUAUAGAGGGGUAUGGUACUGGUGCCCAGGACAGACACAUUGUGGUUGGGUGCAAUGUUUUAAAAAGUUUGAAUGUUAGUGUGCUUUCUGGUAUUCCCUAGGCCCUACCACUCCCUGUUGCCUUAUCACUCACCCAGUUCACACGAUGAUGUCAUCCGUCUGUCCCCCUGAGCUUCAGUUGUGUGGAAUUCCUUCCUACACUCUCCUGUUCACAAGUCACCUUUUAAAUAGAGCUUAUCCCUAACUCUGUUGUUUUGCCCUCUCCCUUCUCCUUCCUGCCAUUGCCUUCCCAUCCUCUCCCUCCUAUUAUCUAUCCACAUAUGUCCUCUCUAUUUUUUCUCAAGUUUUUUAACCUUGUCAGUGUCGCAAUCCAAUGUACACAUCAGGAUAGAUGCGGAGAGGGCUGAUGGCCACUCUGAGUUUAUUAUAACCAGCGUUUCAAUAUAUACAUAGCUUACAGCUGUUAAACAUACACAGGUGUUCUGGAUGAAGUAAUUAGUGAAUGCCAAGAAUUCUUCGUGAUUUCUCAAGGAGCCCUCCCUUGGCCUCUGUUUUGAUAUUAUCAUGUUAUUGCUGUGCUCCUAUACUUUUAUCUCGGAGCAGGCAAGGCCUCUUAGGCAAUGGUCCCUCCUGCUCCCGAUAUCGAUAUCGUUUCUCCAUCUGUGCCCCUGGGCGGCCGCCGCCUGGCUUAGGUUGCCCCCCCAGGGGUCUUACCAGUCAUUGGCUAACCGGCCUUCUCACCUCCGGGUCACAGUUUGUUGGCAAGCUUUUUCCAGUGAUUAUUAACCCUUCCUAUGUCAGGGGCGGCUACAAACCUUAUAAGCAUAAAUUCUUAGGCAGCUAUGCCUAAUAUGAUGAACUAGGAAACCUAAGCCAAGAACAGAGUUGUAUUCAGAUAUACCUUCUACAAGUUUCUAUUAUACAUAUUUAAAGAUACAUAAAUAUUAUUGUAUUGUGUAGUUAUUAGGCAGUUAGCAGUGCUUAUAAAUUAUAUUUAAUGUAACCUUUAUAAACAUUCCCAUUUUAUAGUUAUUCAGUUUUUACUAGCUGCUAACUACCUGGGCAUCUUGCAUGAGUCAUUUUAUUGUAUUGUUUUCUUAUCUACUGAACAAGGGGUUUAGAAGGCAUUGUCUUUAAGGAAAUUUACAGGUACAUAUGUAAGGCCCUGUGACUGUGUGAUUACUACCUGGACUGAUAAAACCUAAAGCAAGGGAAGUGGGGAGAAUGGUGUAGUGCAGAGGGGAAGCUGCCUGUUGCUAACUGCACAAAGUUCUCCUAGAAACCUCCUCUGUAAAAGGAGCUUAAGAACCUACAUCCCCAGGAGACCUCUGGGACCAGUUUUUCUGGAUCCCCUGAGACCAGAUAAUUGGAUAAAGCUGUACAUUCUCAUCCUGAUCCUUUCUGGUCACAGUCCAAAAUGUCCCUUUGUGGUCACAGUCCUCUCCACAGUCUGCUCAGUGCCACCUCCUCUGGCACCCCAGGUGCUGAGGAUCAUCCCCUUUGCCGUACACGCGUCCAUGUUACCUGUGGGGACUGUGUGGUGUGGGAAGGAAACUCCCUCCGCCUGCACCUCCUGUGUGCCCCAGGCCUUCAUGGAAUCCCAGGUCUCUCCAGAGAGUUGCUUUUUUGGGUGGUCUCUCCUGGAAUUCCUGCUGGGUUUUUAUAGUCAUUCCUCUCCCCAUUCCCCACAGACCUCCUCCCCCUCUUCCUUUCUGUUUUGCCACCAUACCAGAUGUUACUUUUACCACAGGGCCUUUUCCCUGUUUACAGAGAAAACCAAAGCCAUCAGGAGGAACUCCACCAACAUGGAAUCCAACGUAUUGAUUGUUACGUCUUGCGGAAAUAUGGGAGACAGGAAAUCACAUUCAACAUAUGAUCUGACACCAUCCCUGCUCUCCAUAUCAGCUGCUCUUUCAGUGUUCCCAUUCUUCAUGAAGGAAUGUUCCGAUCACCUGCUUGCUCCAGUUAAAACCAUGAUGCACAAAGAAGAGUGUACAUGAGGACACAGUGAGAAGGCGGCCAUCGGCAAGACAAGAAGAGAGCUCUCAUCAGAAACCAAAUCUGUCAGCACUUUGAUUUGGGACUUCUAGCCUCUGG